UGGGGAAUAUUGCACAAUGGGCGCAAGCCUGAUGCAGCCAUGCCGCGUGUGUGAAGAAGGCCUUCGGUUGUAAAGCACUUUCAGCGAGGAGGAAGGUGGUGAGCUUAAUACGCUCAUCAAUUGACGUUACUCGCAGAAGAAGCACCGGCUAACUCCGUGCCAGCAGCCGCGGUAAUACGGAGGGUGCAAGCGUUAAUCGGAAUUACUGGGCGUAAAGCGCACGCAGGCGGUUUGUUAAGUCAGAUGUGAAAUCCCCGGGCUCAACCUGGGAACUGCAUUUGAAACUGGCAAGCUAGAGUCUCGUAGAGGGGGGUAGAAUUCCAGGUGUAGCGGUGAAAUGCGUAGAGAUCUGGAGGAAUACCGGUGGCGAAGGCGGCCCCCUGGACGAAGACUGACGCUCAGGUGCGAAAAGCGUGGGGAGCAAACAGGAUUAGAUACCCCUGGUAGUCCACGCUGUAAAACGAUGUCGAUUUUGGAGGUUGUGCCCUUGAGGCGUGGCUUCCGGAGCUAACGCGUUAAAUCGACCGCCUGGGGAGUACGGCCGCAAGGUUAAAACUCAAAUGAAUUG
rnacentral:rRNA from 1 species